rnacentral:lncRNA from 1 species
AAAGAUGUUGCGGAGUUGGUCCCCAAAACAAAAUAUGAUAAAAGUUUGUCAAAACCUUUCUUUAAGAAAUAUAUCAUUUCCUUUUAUAUCAAAAGCUCAGGAUGUAAUGUUCCGAUACAGAUCAAAAGCAUAAACAAGACAUUAUAAGCCUUACGACAGUUAUUUGUAACUACUGGCCUAUAAUCCAAAAUUCACUCAUCAUCAUCAUCCGACUAUGCUCGGGGUCCUCUACCUGUAAUAUAAACAGCUGAGUGGGUCAGGCUUGGAAGCCUGGUGAGCAUAUAGGGUUUUCAACCCACAAUACAUAAAUUUAUUAUGUUUAAACAUCAAUCAAUCAACCGAAUUACCCCAAACCCCAUUAUUUUAUUUAUUUCUUAAUGGUUUACCCUAAGAAUCAACUAUCACUUCAUCCUAAGGAAUAGACACAAAGUCACCUCGUGACCGGGGUUUAUACAACAGACACUAAUUCCAUAGCUGCCAAAGUUUACUCAACAUGUGCUAAGUCCAUAGCUCUCGUUUAUUGACAGUAUUAUUUACAGGUGUUCUCUCCGGCAAUAAAUGUCAAUGGGUUUUAGAGUACAACAAAUGAACAUAUAGUUCAUUACACCUACAGGUUGCGGGCCUGCUAGUGUUCCAUAGACUGUCUAGAAUAGUCCAUGGUUGUCAUCCAUACUCUGCUGAAUGACGGGGGCCAACAUUUUGGGUAAGUGAUUCUCUCAAAUUUCACCACUCAGCCUCAACUCAUGAUCAAUGUUAUUGAUCAUCUCCUUUAUGCAACUCACCUUUCAUCAUACCCACUAUUUCAUCUACCCAUGUUUUUCCUAACAUUUUUUGUAGAUAAAAAUACAUAUGUAGUUUAAAUUAUUGAGAAACAUGUAUAAAUCAUUCCUUCAGCACCCAUCUUAAAUAAACAAACAAUAUAUAUUCACACAACACGUAUUUUAUGUAAAAUACUUCAUAUCUAUGUGUAAGGUGAAAGUAACUACACACUCACUUGAUUUAAUGAAAACCGGGCAGCAAUUCGUUUCCUAAAACGAUCGUUUCUAACAAAACCAAGAGUUUUAUUGAGAAUCCGGGCUCUGCGAAAGGUCAGGAUUCGAAACCGAAAAGAUAAAAUUUCCGGGCUUCACGGGCACUUCGUGGCGUAUUCCGGGGCUUAUAAUCGAUACCGGGGCUUCGGGGGAUGAUAAUAUGAAAGAAAUAUGGAGAAAGGGGCUAAAAAUGACAAGUUUUCAAAAUACCGCCGGGAGGUCUCGCACCCUUCUAUUUAUUGGGAAGAGCUUCUGAUCGGACGGCUGAGAAGGAGCCACGCCUCGCAGAUCCGAGGGUUCACAGGGAAGGCUCGCACAAGGGCUGCGCGUGCGAAGGGCUGCUGGCUUCUUGUGAUUGGUCCGAGGCGUGUGUCCGAUGUGCAGGUGGUCAGCAUGUGCGAGGGUCUCGGUGGCACUCGUUGAUUGGACCUCGGAGUCGUCUUACACGUGCGAGGCUCAGAGCUAGGUGCGAGGCUCGGAACACACGGCAGGCAUUGCAAGGCUCGGACUAGGCUGCACACACGUCGCUCCUCAGAUGUGCCACAGCUUUGGAUGACUCUGCAAUUCGGUGACUCAGCAGGACAAGUGACACUUUUUCAGCGAGGAUGACGUGGCAACUCGUGACUAUGCGAAUUUUUGUCGAUUUUUGCGCCAAAACUUCUAAAAUCCAUAACUUUCGCAUACGAGCUCCGUUUUUGACGUUCUUUAUAUGCACGCGUAGCUAAAAUUACGCUCUACAACUUCCGUUUAGACUUUGUUAGCUAAUUAUGAUUUAAAUUUUAUAUUAUUAUUUUUAACAGACCGGGACAGGAAAUCCGUUAAAAAUUCAUAACUUCUUCAUCCGACGUCCGUUUUCGUCAGACUUUUUACCGUUGUGCUCCUAAUGACGAGACCUUCAAUUCUUGUUUAGGUUGUGUCGGAUAAAAAUCGCUCGAUCUAAAAUUCGAGUUUUUUAGCUAUCUACUGCUAAGCUGAAACUUCGUAAAAUCAUAACUUACUCAUACGAAGUCAGAUUCGGGCGUUCUUUUUAUCGAACUUCUCGGUUUAAUGAAUACUACGACUUUCGUUUAGAUUACUAAGGCUAAAAAGUAGUUUAUCAAAAACUCACUUUUUACGACACUCGACACCAUGUCGGUUUUGUCGCGAAACUUCGACAGGUCAUAACUUCUUCGUUAUAACUCGGAUUUCGGCAUUCUUUAUAUCCUCGAGAUCCUUGUUUCGACCACUACAACUUUAUGUAACGAUAUCGGGCUUAUAUAACACUUUAAUUUUGACGCUUAUUUUUGUUUUUAAUUAAUUAAACCCUAAUAAUUAAGCAUAAAACACAUAAUUCACAUAAAAUUCACAUAAUUCCUUUUCAUUUCUUCUAAGUGAGUUACAAAGGUUAACCUAGACCAUUAUGUCAAUAUGAAUGCCUAGCCUAGAAACACGAGCGUUACAACUCUCUCCCCCUUAGGAUGAUUCCGUCCCCGGAAUCACACAACGACAAACAAGUACGGGUAGCGACUCACUAUGUCAGUCUCCGUUUCCCAGGUGGGAUUUGGCCUAUUUAUAUGUUUCCAAUGUAUAGGCACUAGAUUGACUAUCUUACGUUACAACUUCUUAGUCUUACGGUUAACGAUUGCCUCAGGUUCUCCAAUUAACCUCUUGUUCUCGUCCAACCUUAAUUCAGAAAUGGGAAUUAUGUCGGGCACACCUCCCGUGAACUUUCUCAAAUAACACACAUGAAAGGUGUUAUAAAUACUCUCUAGUUCUUCCGGUAAUUCUAGCUUGUAAGCUUGAUUCUGGGUUCUUUGAAGAACUUUAAAUGGUCCAAUAAACUUUGGACUCAACUUUCCCCUUCUACCAAAUCUUAUAAGUCCCUUCCACGACGAGACUUUAAGUGAAACCGAAUCUCCAACUUCGAAUGAUAUCAGUUGUCUUUUCUUGUCAGCAUAGCUCUUUUGAGCAGCUAACAUCUUUUUCCCUAAUCACUUACAACUUUUCAGCAAUCUAAUGGACUAUUUCUAGUCCCAUAAACUGCUUUUCCUCUUAUAGACUCCUCCAAAACCUUGAGGUAAAACGGCUGUCACGAUCGGAUACAAUCGUUAACGAAACACCGUGAAGCCUCACACUUUUCUUCACAUAAGAAUUCGCAAGUUUAUCCAUAGACCAUUUCUCGUUGGCUGCUAUGAAAUGCACACUCUUAGUGAAGCGAUCAACGACCACCCAAAUCAUGUCAUGACCGUUCCUUGUUCUGGGCAGUUUAAUCACAGAAUCCAUAGUGAUAUCUUCCCAUUUACCCAUGGGUACAGGUAAAGGUUCUAAACUCCCAUACGUUUUCUGAUGUUGUGCCUUAACCCUAGCACAAGUUACACACUCAGCCAUAUACUUUAGGAACUUUGAGCUUCAUCGUUGGCUAUCAGUAAUAGGGUUUUAGAUCUUUAUACAUUUUCGUAUUGCCGGGAUGAAUCGAGUACAUGGUCUUGUGAGCUUCUUCCAUUAGAAGACCUCUUAUUCCUCCCAUCCUAGGUACCCAAAUCCUAUCUUUGAAUACCUCCAGUCCUUGACCGUUUGUAUCAAACACCAACGUUUUAUCCCAAACAUUCCUUCUUUCGGUCAUUUUUCUCUAAAGCUUCCUCUUGAGCUUUCUUUAUACUUUUCACAAUUGUCAAGACAACUUUAAUUCUUAACGCUCUUGGCUCUUUUCUUUUCAAGACUUAGCUUUCGACUAAGAGUAUCGAUAACAACAUUUGCUUUACCAGGGUGGUAAAGUAUCUCACAGAAGUAGUCCUUGAGUAAUACUAGCCAGCGUCGUUGCCUGAUGUUCAAUUCCUUCUAAUCAAAGAGAUAUUGGAGACUCUUAUGAUUAGUGAAAAGUUUACACUUUGUGCCAUAAAGAUAAUGCCUCCAUAUCUUUAGGGCGAAUACUACCGCUGCCAACUCCAAAUCGUGAGUGGGGUAGUUCUUUUCAUGCUCUUUCAAUUGCCUCGAUGCAUACGCUAUCACCUUAUCCCUUUGGGUCAGAACACAUCCUAACCCAACUCCAGAGACAUCACUAUAACCUGUGAAGUCAUCAACUCCUUUAGGUAAUGAAAGAAUCGGUGCUUCACACAACUUCUUCUUUAACUUCUCAAAGCUUCAUAUGCUUCUCAUUCCAAGUAUAGACAGCUCCUUUGUGGGUCAAAGUUUCCAAUGGAGUCGCGAUCGAAGAAAAGCCUUGGAUAAUUCAGUAAUAAUAUCCAGCUAAUACUAAAAAGCUUCAGACCUCCAUAGGACUUUCAAUUUUAACCUUCGAAUUACAAAAUAAAUCCUUAUUGAGGACUCCUCCUUCUUCUUGGAAUAAGUAUUUUCCUUCAUUUAUUGUAACAGACCGAUGGGUCAUGUUCUAAUGAUCUCUCAUUAUAUACUGCACUAGUUAGACUCAGAUCUCCUAGGGACAAAUUUUAGAAAAAAAUUAUACCUUCCUUCAUGUUCUAAUGUGAUACAAUCACAGUUCAACAUGUAUCAUUUAUAACUACCAACUUCUUUAACAAUGAGUGUGACACUUCUAUUGAUCGCUUUGAUCAUCUUUCAUUUCAAUCUUCUGGCUUAAGUCAAAUGUUACAUCGAACUUGGUUCUCUGAACCACAUAAUAAACUCAUCGUAGUCGGACUCAAUUUGAUAUGACCUCUAAGGUCGGAAUAACAAUCAUCUUCUUAGUCAUUACCGAAACGAUGGUAACGACAGACUAGAACAAGACGGAAUCAAAUAAUAGCUUCUUGGUAACCUUGUGACUUUCCCUGAUCCAAGUGCGAGUCCUGUGCUUCCAGUAGUAUAGAUCUCUACUACUAUUCACACCUACUCAUACUCGUCCCAAGUACUGUCUCGCAGUCCCCAAGUCCUAAAAUCACAAAACAAUUUAACACAUACAAAUGUGUCCAAUUAAUCAUAAAAUUUUCCUAGACUCUACUAGGACUUCUUUCACGCGUAUCUUCAAUGAUCAACUCUACUUCAACUUGGUUGGUGAUGGAAAUUUCAGAUGAUUGGGACAACUUCAAAAAUUACACCAGCCAUUCUAUUCAUCAGACGACAAAACCAGGGUUUAUUUUAUUUCCUUGAAACGAUUACACAAAGGUUCAAGUUUACCCUAUACUAUGCCUCUCAUAGGCUAAACUACUUGUUACUAUUCACAUUACUACUUCGUAACUUGAUCUUCGGGUAUCAAGUCUUGACUUCUACUUCCUAGUGUUAUUAAUCGCUUCUUCAAGGAUAUCCUGAAAUUCCUUUGGCGUUGAUGGUGCACUUGGCCUUGUUACUUCAUUGUUCUUCGGACAAUUCUUAGAAAUAUGGCCUUCUUCUUUACAUCCGUAGCACACCUGCUUGGGAAUCAUACACUUAUUGGCGUAAUGCCCUAUUUCUCCACACUUAAAGCACGUCACCUUCCCGUCACAAUUCCCAGAUUGUUUAUUUUUGCACUUCCUGCACCAUUUUCCUUUAUCUCUUCUUUUGCCAAACUUUGAGGAUAUGUUGCUCUUGUUGGGCCUUGAAGACCCCUCAAAUUUCCUCUUCUUGCCAACUUCAACUUUGUUGGUGGUUGUGCCAUUGAUCAUUUCCUCAAUAGACUUAGCAACCCUAAUAGUUGUCUUAAGAACAGAUGCCUGACGUACUGGUACAAUAAGUUCAUCCUUACUUUGUUGAAGUAAACGUUUUGUUUCUUCCAUCUAUUCACCUAACAUCGUACGUACCAUUGCCUGCACUCCAGUCAUCGUGAUUGGCUCAGGCUGUGGAUUAUCACUUCCGAACCCACUUUGAGUACUCGCCAUUUCGAUCUAUACACCAAUCGUAGGUGAACUUAGAUCUUCAUUUUUGUUAGAUGUUAAGUCUUCGAAACGUUUAUAUGUUAGUUCCAAUAUCGUAGUCAUAUGUUAAGAAUCCUACACACAUAAGGUUUUCAGAUCCGGUCGGUGACAUACCAUAGAUCCAAACAAAUAAUAGCAUCAUUAUAGCUAUAACACAAAACAUUUAGCACAUAAAAGCAUUUUAGGCAUCCUUCCUAAAAUAAACUAUUGCUCUNGUCUAAAAUAUGGUAGACACUCAUCUCACAAUCAUCACUUAGCAUUCUAAGUUCAAGUCUAGAAAUUCUACAAUUUCUUAGUUCGCUGAAUCUAAUGCUCUGAUACCAACUGUGACAUCCCCAAAUUUCUCGGCCAGAAAAGACCGAUUUAAUUUAUGCUUUUUAAAAAUCAAAUCAGAGAAAUCUUUAUAAAAGAUGUUGCGGAGUUGGUACCCAAAACAAAAUAUGAUAAAAGUUUCUCAAAACCUUUGUUUAAGAAAUAUAUCAUUUCCUUUUAUAUCAAAACAUCGGGAUGUCAUGUUCCGAUCCAGAUCAAAAGCAUAAACAAGACAUUAUAAGCCUUACGACAGUUAUUUGUAACUACUGGCCUAUAAUCCAAAAUUCACUCAUCAUCAUCAUCCGACUAUGCUCGGGGUCCUCUACCUGUAAUAUAAACAGCUGAGUGGGUCAGGCUUGGAAGCCUGGUGAGCAUAUAGGGUUUUCAACCCACAAUACAUAAAUUUAUUAUGUUUAAACAUCAAUCAAUCAACCGAAUUACCCCAAACCCCAUUAUUUUAUUUAUUUCUUAAGGGUUUACCCUAAGAAUCAACUAUCACUCCUUCCUAAAGAUUCAUCCUAAGGAAUAGACACAAAGUCACCUCGUGACCGGGGUUUAUACAACGGGCACUAAUUCCAUAGCUGCCAAAGUUUACUCAACAUGUGCUAAGUCCAUAGCUCUCGUUUAUCGACAGUAUUAUUUACAGGUGUUCUCUCCUGCAAUACAUGUCA